ACUCCUACGGGAGGCAGCAGUGGGGAAUUUUGCGCAAUGGGGGAAACCCUGACGCAGCAACGCCGCGUGAGUGAUGAAGGCCUUCGGGUCGUAAAGCUCUGACAGAGGGGAAGAAGUGAAGUGGUGCUAAUACCAUCAUUUUUUGACGGUACCCUCAAAGGAAGCACCGGCUAACUCCGUGCCAGCAGCCGCGGCAAUACGGAGGGUGCAAGCGUUGUUCGGAAUUAUUGGGCGUAAAGCGCGUGUAGACGGUCAGUUAAGUCUGAUGUGAAAGCCCUGGGCUCAACCCGGGAAGUGCAUUGGAAACUGGUUGACUUGAAUACGGGAGAGGGUAGUGGAAUUCCUAGUGUAGGAGUGAAAUCCGUAGAUAUUAGGAGGAACACCGGUGGCGAAGGCGGCUACCUGGACCGAUAUUGACGCUGAGACGCGAAAGCGUGGGGAGCAAACAGGAUUAGAUACCCUGGUAGUCCACGCCGUAAACGAUGAGAACUAGGUGUUGCGGGUA
rnacentral:rRNA from 1 species